UACGGGGGGUGCAAGCGUUGUCCGGAAUCACUGGGCGUAAAGCGCGUGUAGGCGGCCAGGUAAGUCCGUUCUGAAAGCCCGGGGCUCAACCCCGGGAGGCGGAUGGAUACUGCUUGGCUCGAGUCCGGAAGAGGCGAGUGGAAUUCCCGGUGUAGCGGUGAAAUGCGCAGAUAUCAGGAGGAACACCGGUGGCGAAGGCGGGUCUCUGGGCAGUUGACUGACGCUGGAGGAGCGAAAGCAUGGGGAGCGAACAGG
rnacentral:rRNA from 1 species